CCUACGGGAGGCAGCAGUGGGGGAUAUUGCACAAUGGGGGGAACCCUGAUGCAGCGACGCCGCGUGGGUGAAGAAGCGCCUCGGCGCGUAAAGCCCUGUCAGCAGGGAAGAAAAUGACGGUACCUGAAGAAGAAGCCCCGGCUAACUACUUGCCAGCAGCCGCGGUAAUCCGUAGGGUGCAAGCGUUAUCCGGAUGUACUGGGUGUAAAGGGGGCGCAGGCGGCGAUACAUGCCAGGAGUGAAGGCCCGGGGCCAAACCCCGGGACUGCUGUUGGAACUGCGUGGCUGGAGUGCAGGAGGGGCAGGCGGAAUGCGUGGUGUAGCGGUGAAAUGCGUAGAUAUCAGGAGGAACACCGGUGGCGAAGGCGGCCUGCUGGACUGCAACUGACGUUGAGGCACGAAAGCGUGGGGAGCAAACAGGAUUAGAUACCCGGGUAGUC
rnacentral:rRNA from 1 species